rnacentral:tRNA from 1 species
GCCUGGGUGGCUCAGUGGUUGAGCGCCUGCCUUCAGCUCAGGGCCUGACCUUGGAGACCCGGGAUCGAGUCCCGCAUCGGGCU